rnacentral:rRNA from 1 species
UAGACGAAGGCGUGAUGCGGAGCGAAAUGAAGUAGUGAAGCUGCGGCCCCUUCCUGUCGAUAAAAGCCGCUACCGUGUAGCAAGGGCCCGUACCGUAAACCGACACAGGUGGAUGAGGAGAGGAUCCUAAGGCUGGCGGGAGAAGUGUUGUUAAGGAACUCGGCAAAAUGACUCCGUAACUUCGGGAGAAGGAGUGCUGCGCAAGCAGCCGCAGAGAAAUGGCCCAAGCAACUGUUUAGCAAAAACACAGGUCUAUGCGAAACCGAAAGGUGAGGUAUAUGGGCUGACGCCUGCCCGGUGCUGGAAGGUUAAGGGGAGAGCUUAGCGCAAGCGAAGGUUUGAACUUAAGCCCCAGUAAACGGCGGCCGUAACAAUAACGGUCCUAAGGUAGCGAAAUUCCUUGUCGGGUAAGUUCCGACCCGCACGAAAGGCGUAAUGAUUUGGGCACUGUCUCAACAACACACCCGGUGAAAUUGAAAUACCAGUGAAGAUGCUGGUUACCCGCGCCAGGACGGAAAGACCCCAUGGAGCUUUACUCCAGCCUGAUACUGGGAUUCGGUAUUGCAUGUACAGGAUAGGUGGGAGGCUAAGAACUUAUGGCGCCAGCCGUGAGGGAGCCGAUGUUGGGAUACCACCCCUGCAGUACUGGGUUUCUAACCUGCGCCCGUGACCCGGGCGGGGGACAAAGUCAGGCGGGGAGUUUGACUGGGGCGGUCGCCUCCGAAAGGGUAUCGGAGGCGCUCAAAGGUCUCCUCAGGAUGGUUGGAAACCAUCCAGAGAGUGCAAAGGCAGAAGGAGGCUUGACUGCGACACCGACGGGUGGAGCAGGUACGAAAGUAGGACUUAGUGAUCCGGUGGCAUAAAGUGGGAUUGCCAUCGCUCAACGGGUAAAAGCUACCCUGGGAUAACAGGCUUAUCACUCCCAAGAGUUCACAUCGACGGAGUGGUUUGGCACCUCGAUGUCGGCUCAUCGCAUCCUGGAGCUGGAGCAGGUUCCAAGGGUUGGGCUGUUCGCCCAUUAAAGCGGUACGCGAGCUGGGUUCAGAACGUCGUGAGACAGUUCGGUCCCUAUCCGGCGCGGGCGCAGGAUAUCUGAGAGGAGCUGUCCUUAGUACGAGAGGACCGGGAUGGACCGUCCGCUGGUGGACCGGUUGUCAUGCCAAUGGCACGGCCGGGUAGCCAAGACGGGAAGGGAUAAACGCUGAAGGCAUCUAAGCGUGAAGCCCCCCUCAAGAUGAGAUAUCCAUACUCGAAAGAGUGAGAGACCCCUUAGAGACGAUGAGGUAGAUAGGGCAGAGAUGGAAGCACAGCGAUGUGUGGAGUUGACUGUUACUAAUCGGUCGAUAGCUCGAA